rnacentral:tRNA from 1 species
GCCUGGGUGGCUCAGUCGGUUGAGCAUCCGACUUCGGCUCAGGUCAUGAUCACGCGGUCUGUGAGUUCGAGCCCCACAUCGGGCU